AGAGUUUGAUCCUGGCUCAGGACGAACGCUGGCGGCGUGCCUAAUACAUGCAAGUAGAACGCUGAAGAGAGGAGCUUGCUCUUCUUGGAUGAGUUGCGAACGGGUGAGUAACGCGUAGGUAACCUGCCUUGUAGCGGGGGAUAACUAUUGGAAACGAUAGCUAAUACCGCAUAACAAUGGAUGACCCAUGUCAUUUAUUUGAAAGGGGCAAAUGCUCCACUACAAGAUGGACCUGCGUUGUAUUAGCUAGUAGGUGAGGUAACGGCUCACCUAGGCGACGAUACAUAGCCGACCUGAGAGGGUGAUCGGCCACACUGGGACUGAGACACGGCCCAGACUCCUACGGGAGGCAGCAGUAGGGAAUCUUCGGCAAUGGGGGCAACCCUGACCGAGCAACGCCGCGUGAGUGAAGAAGGUUUUCGGAUCGUAAAGCUCUGUUGUAAGUCAAGAACGAGUGUGAGAGUGGAAAGUUCACACUGUGACGGUAGCUUACCAGAAAGGGACGGCUAACUACGUGCCAGCAGCCGCGGUAAUACGUAGGUCCCGAGCGUUGUCCGGAUUUAUUGGGCGUAAAGCGAGCGCAGGCGGUUUGAUAAGUCUGAAGUUAAAGGCUGUGGCUCAACCAUAGUUCGCUUUGGAAACUGUCAAACUUGAGUGCAGAAGGGGAGAGUGGAAUUCCAUGUGUAGCGGUGAAAUGCGUAGAUAUAUGGAGGAACACCGGUGGCGAAAGCGGCUCUCUGGUCUGUAACUGACGCUGAGGCUCGAAAGCGUGGGGAGCGAACAGGAUUAGAUGCCCUGGUAGUCCACGCCGUAAACGAUGAGUGCUAGGUGUUGGAUCCUUUCCGGGAUUCAGUGCCGCAGCUAACGCAUUAAGCACUCCGCCUGGGGAGUACGACCGCAAGGUUGAAACUCAAAGGAAUUGACGGGGGCCCGCACAAGCGGUGGAGCAUGUGGUUUAAUUCGAAGCAACGCGAAGAACCUUACCAGGUCUUGACAUCCCGAUGCUAUUUCUAGAGAUAGAAAGUUACUUCGGUACAUCGGUGACAGGUGGUGCAUGGUUGUCGUCAGCUCGUGUCGUGAGAUGUUGGGUUAAGUCCCGCAACGAGCGCAACCCCUAUUGUUAGUUGCCAUCAUUCAGUUGGGCACUCUAGCGAGACUGCCGGUAAUAAACCGGAGGAAGGUGGGGAUGACGUCAAAUCAUCAUGCCCCUUAUGACCUGGGCUACACACGUGCUACAAUGGUUGGUACAACGAGUUGCGAGUCGGUGACGGCAAGCUAAUCUCUUAAAGCCAAUCUCAGUUCGGAUUGUAGGCUGCAACUCGCCUACAUGAAGUCGGAAUCGCUAGUAAUCGCGGAUCAGCACGCCGCGGUGAAUACGUUCCCGGGCCUUGUACACACCGCCCGUCACACCACGAGAGUUUGUAACACCCGAAGUCGGUGAGGUAACCUUUUGGAGCCAGCCGCCUAAGGUGGGAUAGAUGAUUGGGGUGAAGUCGUAACAAGGUA
rnacentral:rRNA from 1 species